GACGAACGUUGGCGGCGUGCUUAAUACAUGCAAGUCAACUGAAGCAGUGGUAGCAAUAUCGCUGUGGAGGUGGCGCACGGGUGAGUAACACGUAGGUAAUCUGCCUUCAGGUCUGGCAUAACUCCGGGAAACCGGGGCUAAUAGCAGAUGAUGCAGCGGCUCGACAUCGAGACAGUUGUUAAAGCUAUGGCGCCUGAAGAUGAGCCUGCGUCUGAUUAGCUAGUUGGCGGGGUAACGGCCCACCAAGGCAACGAUCAGUAGCUGGUCUGAGAGGAUGAUCAGCCACACUGGAACUGAGGCACGGUCCAGACUCCUACGGGAGGCAGCAGUAAGGAAUAUUGCUCAAUGGGAGAAAUCCUGAAGCAGCAACGCCGCGUGAGGGACGAAGGGCUUUGGCUUGUAAACCUCUGUAGUGAGAGAAACAAAUCCCAAUCUUUGGGACAUGAUGGUAUCUCAAAAGUAAGCCCCGGCUAACUACGUG
rnacentral:rRNA from 1 species